AGCUCCAAUAGCGUAUAUUAAAGUUGUUGCAGUUAAAAAGCUCGUAGUCGCAUUUCUGGCGAGAGGAUCCGGUCCGACCUUUUGGUGGGUUCUUGGGUCUCUUUCGCCAUCCUUGAGUGGUCCGUUCUGGCAUUAGGUUGUCGGAGCGUCAGCCGCUCAUCGUUUACUGUGAGAAAAUUAGAGUGUUCAAAGCAGGCUUAUGCCGUUGAAUAUAUUAGCAUGGAAUAAUAAGAUAGGACCUCGGUACUAUUUUGUUGGUUUGCGCACCAAGGUAAUGAUGAACAGGGACAGUUGGGGGUAUUUGUAUUUCGUUGUCAGAGGUGAAAUUCUUAGAUUUACGAAAGACAAACUACUGCGAAAGCAUUUACCAAGGAUGUUUUCA
rnacentral:rRNA from 1 species